UCCUUCGAGAAGAAGAGAAAAUAACUAAGGAUAUUGGCCAGCGGCCCAGCCCUGGCAGCCCUCUUCCUCACCCUUUCCCUCGUCUACCGCCGCCGCCACCGAUGUCCUCGCCGUAGCCGCCGCAACCGUCGCCCACGCCCUCCCCAACGGCUGACGCUCCCACCCUUCUCUCCUCCCCUUACCUUCUUACCAUCCGCGACCUCCUCCCCUCUCCCUGGCACCAGAUCGAGCAGCAGGUCGGGAUCCGACGCAGGCUCAGAUCCGGCAUGCCCAAAGCUCUGGUUCCCGUUGAGGAGGCCAUGGAUAAGAUGCUCUGGCCCUGGUGCUGCAGCCAUGGACAAGGGGGCCUCCUCGUCGGCACUGAACAGGAGGCGUGCGCGUGUGUGUGCACCGUCUCGGGAGAAGGAGGUCAUCGGGGAUGGCUUCCCUUUUGUUCUGGUCCUGGAGCUCCGCCCGUUGGUGAGUCCCCAAUCCAGUCCACACUCUCUCCCCCUCUCUCUAAGUCUCUCUCUUACUCUCUCCGUCAGAGGGGAUAUGCCGGCCCUGAGGUGUGGCGGCCAUGACAAAGACUAUAGAAGAUGUUUGAUGAAAGGCCAGCCACUGCUUUUUACAACUUUAUUUAUGAGGCCCAGUUGCUAAAUUGCACUGAUAAAUUAUAAAAUGCAUAAAGAACGCAGUGGUUUCAUUGCAAGUGGAGCUCUCCACAGAUUUAUUUUUAUAAGGCACUUAUUGUUCUUUCAGGUUGUUCUCUAAUAAGUGCGAUUUAAGUUAGCAAUUUCCUAUUCUUUUUACUAUGGAAGAUGGCAGCAAGGUGAUCCAGGUAAGGUUUGUUGUUCGGCUUAUUGUUUUGUUCUUCUUCAGUUCAGGAACCAGAGUCAUCCCUAGACCAUAGCAUGAUAUCUCUGAAUUUUGCAUUUGUGUCUUGGAACAAACAUACAUUGCGGGCAAGUACUCUUUACUCUACGCAGUUAUCAGGUUAUCCAACCAGUUAUGGGCAGUAGUGGAUAUAUGUGUUCAAUGAUGGAUUGAUGAGAGGGUCACCUUUGAAUAUAGAUAAUAGAUGGAGUUGUAAAAUAGUGCCGCCGCCGCCCUCCGACAGUGGCAGGGAGAGGAGGGUUGGCGGGUUGUGGAGGUUCACCAGCAGCUAGGAUUGGCUCCCGGGCAGGCCACGCGGGGAGGGACGCGGGAGAGCUCCGAUCAACGAUACCGACCGACGAUGAGACGAAUAUGAAUGUUCUCAAUUGCUAGCUGAUUGUGUAAUACGAUCAAGUUGAUUCCCAUUUGUCAAAUAUAGUUUUGUCGAAAGUAUGAUAAAAUUUUAGAGCAAUGUGGAUGCAUUAAUACAUGUUUUUUAUGAA